rnacentral:rRNA from 1 species
GUGAUGGUGCAGACGGGUGAGUACGCGUGGAACGUGCCUUUCACUACGGAAUAGCUUUUGGAAACGAAAGGUAAUACCGUAUACGCCCUCCGGGGGAAAGAUUUAUCGGUGAAAGAUCGGUCCGCGUUAGAUUAGCUAGUUGGUGAGGUAACGGCUCACCAAGGCUACGAUCUAUAGCUGGUCUGAGAGGAUGAUCAGCCACACUGGGACUGAGACACGGCCCAGACUCCUACGGGAGGCAGCAGUGGGGAAUAUUGCACAAUGGGCGCAAGCCUGAUGCAGCCAUGCCGCGUGAAUGAUGAAGGCCUUAGGGUUGUAAAAUUCUUUCGCCAAGGAUGAUAAUGACAGUACUUGGUAAAGAAGCCCCGGCUAACUUCGUGCCAGCAGCCGCGGUAAUACGAAGGGGGCUAGCGUUGUUCGGAAUUACUGGGCGUAAAGCGCACGUAGGCGGACUUCUAAGUCAGAUGUGAAAUCCCGAGGCUCAACCUCGGAACUGCAUUUGAAACUGGGAGUCUAGAGAUCAGGAGAGGUUAGCGGAAUACCGAGUGUAGAGGUGAAAUUCGUAGAUAUUCGGUGGAACACCAGUGGCGAAGGCGGCUAACUGGACUGAUACUGACGCUGAGGUGCGAAAGUGUGGGGAGCAAACAGGA